GUUCGAAGGCUAGGCCACUUUCCACUACUAUUGAGCUGCCUCCUCUCUAUGAAAAUGCUUUUCUGGAUUGAGGGAGACAGUCAUAGAGAAAUGUGUUGUUGGCAUCGAUUUCCUAUGGUUGGGCAAUGGCUUCCGCCAUCUGGACCAGGUGACGUCAGCUAUCUGGAUUUCUGCCAGCAUUCCCCGGCCCAGGAAACAGACUUCCGGCUGUCUGGGCUCUGAGCCAUCUUCGGCCUCCUGGAGUUGGAUGCUGAAACUUGCAGUCACACAAGGACUUGAACCUAGAGCUUUUCUAAAGCCCGUACUCUUUCCAGUACCCUGAGCCAGGGGAGCCAGCGGGCAGAAAUGACGUGUGAGGUACCCUCUCUCUCUUCACUUCCAUGUGAUCUGUUACUCAUUUUGUCAAGACAUCCUGGGUCCCAGAGACCACUCUUAUUCCCAGGUGUGUGACCUCCUCCUACAGACUACAGUGGGAAAGACACCAUCUCCAGGUGCCAGGUGCUACACAAGAUACUGGCUAUAGCAGCGAACAGGACAGCCCGUCUCAUCCUCAUGGAGGUCACAGGACAAUGAGAAGAAAGACUUUUUUAUUUUUAUUUUUUUGAGACGGAGUUUUGCUCUUGUUGCCGAGGCUGGAGUGCAGU
rnacentral:lncRNA from 1 species